AUUGAACGCUGGCGGCAUGCUUUACACAUGCAAGUCGAACGGCAGCGCGGGCUUCGGCCUGGCGGCGAGUGGCGAACGGGUGAGUAAUACAUCGGAACGUGCCCAGUAGUGGGGGAUAGCUCGGCGAAAGCCGGAUUAAUACCGCAUACGACCAGAGGGUGAAAGCGGGGGAUCUUCGGACCUCGCGCUAUUGGAGCGGCCGAUGGCAGAUUAGCUAGUUGGUGGGGUAAAGGCCUACCAAGGCGACGAUCUGUAGCUGGUCUGAGAGGACGACCAGCCACACUGGGACUGAGACACGGCCCAGACUCCUACGGGAGGCAGCAGUGGGGAAUUUUGGACAAUGGGCGAAAGCCUGAUCCAGCAAUGCCGCGUGUGUGAUGAAGGCCUUCGGGUUGUAAAGCACUUUUGGCGGGAACGAAAAGGACUGUGCCAAUACCACGGUUCGAUGACGGUACCCGCAGAAUAAGCACCGGCUAACUACGUG
rnacentral:rRNA from 1 species